UUUCUCAAUUUUUAGUCAGUCGACCACCUCAUGUCCACUUGAUUGGUGCCCAACAUAGACUAUUGUUGAUUUAGUCAUUUGGUGCUUUGUCUUGCAGCUGGUCCCAGCUCUUGGAAACUCUUCCUCUUCCAAAUAUUAAGUGGAUUUGUCCAACUGCUCCUACUCGACCAGUUGCUAUAUUUGGUGGAUUUCCUUGCACUGCUUGGUUUGAUGUAGGAGAUAUUUCGGAAGAUGCUCCUGAUGAUUUGGAGGGGUUAGAUGCUUCAGCAGCGCGUGUCGCAAAUCUCUUGUCAACAGAGCCCCCUGAUAGUAGGUUUCCCC